UACGUAGGGGGCAAGCGUUGUCCGGAUUUAUUGGGCGUAAAGAGCGCGUAGGCGGCCAAGCAGGUCCGCUGUGAAAACUCGAGGCUCAACCUCGAGACGUCGGUGGAAACCGUUUGGCUAGAGUCCGGAAGAGGAGAGUGGAAUUCCCGGUGUAGCGGUGAAAUGCGCAGAUAUCGGGAAGAACACCCGUGGCUAAGGCGGCUCUCUAGUACGGUACUGACGCUGAGACGCGAAAGCGUGGGGAGCGAACAGG
rnacentral:rRNA from 1 species